rnacentral:rRNA from 1 species
CAACGUGGGUAACCUGCCCUGAUGAUUGGGACAACCCGAGGAAACUCGGGCUAAUACCAAAUGUGCCCCCUGGCCUCAAGGCCUCUGGGGAAAGGAAGCUUCGGCCUCCGCAUCGGGAUGGGCCCGCGGCCCAUUAGCUUGUUGGUGAGGUAAUGGCUCACCAAGGCUACGAUGGGUAGCUGGUCUGAGAGGACGAUCAGCCACACUGGGACUGAGACACGGCCCAG